AGUGAACGCUGGCGGUGUGCUUAACACAUGCAAGUCGAACGAGAACGGACUAAAGUUUACUUUAGUUGUCAGCUAAGUGGCGCACGGGUGAGUAAUCUAUAGCUAACCUACCCUAAAGAGGGGGAUAAUUAAUGGAACGUUUGUAAUACCCUAUACCUCUUAUCUACACAAGUAUAUAAGAAGAAAACUUUAAGUGCUUUAGGUAGUGGGGCGUGUAUUGUAUCAGCUAGUUGGUGGUGUAA
rnacentral:rRNA from 1 species